GUCGAGCGGUAACAGAUUGAUAGCUUGCUAUCAAUGCUGACGAGCGGCGGACGGGUGAGUAAUGCCUGGGAAUAUGCCCUGAUGUGGGGGAUAACUAUUGGAAACGAUAGCUAAUACCGCAUAAUCUCUUCGGAGCAAAGAGGGGGACCUUCGGGCCUCUCGCGUCAGGAUUAGCCCAGGUGGGAUUAGCUUGUUGGUGGGGUAAUGGCUCACCAAGGCAACGAUCCCUAGCUGGUCUGAGAGGAUGAUCAGCCACACUGGAACUGAGACACGGUCCAGACUCCUACGGGAGGCAGCAGUGGGGAAUAUUGCACAAUGGGGGAAACCCUGAUGCAGCCAUGCCGCGUGUAUGAAGAAGGCCUUCGGGUUGUAAAGUACUUUCAGUUGUGAGGAAGGCGUUGAUGUUAAUAGCUUCAGCGUUUGACGUUAGCAACAGAAGAAGCACCGGCUAACUCCGUGCCAGCAGCCGCGGUAAUACGGAGGGUGCGAGCGUUAAUCGGAAUUACUGGGCGUAAAGCGCAUGCAGGUGGUCUGUUAAGCAAGAUGUGAAAGCCCGGGGCUCAACCUCGGAACAGCAUUUUGAACUGGCAGACUAGAGUACUGUAGAGGGGGGUAGAAUU
rnacentral:rRNA from 1 species